UGAGGAAUCUUGCGCAAUGGGCGAAAGCCUGACGCAGCAACGCCGCGUGGAGGAUGAAGGUCUUCGGAUCGUAAACUCCUGUCAGAUGGGGCGAAGGUCCACUGCCUAAUACGCAGUGGUCUUGACGGUACCAUCAGAGGAAGCCACGGCUAACUCUGUGCCAGCAGCCGCGGUAAUACAGAGGUGGCGAGCGUUAUUCGGAAUUAUUGGGCGUAAAGGGCGCGUAGGCGGCAAUUCAAGUCAUCUGUGAAAUCUCCGGGCUUAACUCGGAACGGUCAGAUGAUACUGCUUUGCUAGAGUGCAGAAGGGGCAAUCGGAAUUCUUGGUGUAGCGGUGAAAUGCGUAGAUAUCAAGAGGAACACCUGAGGUGAAGACGGGUUGCUGGGCUGACACUGACGCUGAGGCGCGAAAGCCAGGGGAGCAAACGGGAUUAGAUACCCAAGUAGUCCUGAGCGGGCUGGCAAGGCGCAU
rnacentral:rRNA from 1 species